CGAGAAAAUGGUCGGAGAGGGUACUAAGUUACAUUGAAUAUGCUAUGAAAUUCCAACGUUCUUAGACAGUGUUGAUUAUGCAUGAUGAUUAUGUGUUUUGUAUUGGUAGAUACUUUUUAUCAUAAUGGUCUGGAUAGUGGGUCAUUCAUUUAUUAAUGUUUAUUUUGUGUUUCCAAUAUUUUUUAUUCUUUAUAUUUUAGCACCUCAUCAUUCAAUCUUUUUUUUGCCUUUUAUUCUGCAGUAUUUGCCCAUUAUUUUGUAUUCCGCAGGUAAACCCCAAUACAAUCUAGAAACUCGCUAGUACAACAUAUCAGUUGUAAAAAAUAUGAUAUGUCCAUUAUCAUUUCUACUGCUUUAGUGGAACAUCCCUUCGAGCGUUCGCUUUUUCAUAAAUUAGCAACCUCUACGGCGGAAUCGAAAACGGCGACGUCAUAAUACAGUUACGACACUAUGG
rnacentral:lncRNA from 1 species